rnacentral:tmRNA from 1 species
GGGGAUGCUAAGCUUUCGACAGUUUGUUGUUUGCUGAUAUGCACGUCGGGCACAUAUACUCAUCCCGUUAAAAUGGUAUAUACUUUUGAUAAGUGCAAACUUUGUCAAUAAAGUAAAAGCGGCUUUCACGCCGUCUUUUGCACCGUCUCUCGCGUAAUAAACGCCUGAGCCACUCGCCAACUGAUGUCUCGUAGGUUGGUUGUAGUGUCAUAUUUUCGAGACUCGUUUCGCAUAUGUAUCUUUGCACAUGAGGAAUUAAAUUUUCAAAGAUAGGUCGAGAGAUUUUUUGAAUGUCUUCUCACUCUCUACCGAACACGUUCAAUUUGCAUUGACAUGAAAGACAUCUCUAAACGUGUAAGAAGUAUUUUCAAAUAUACAAAUUUGGACGUGGGUGCAAUUCCCACCAUCUCCACAA